ACCAAGGAAAAGGAGCCGGUAUCAGGCUCAACUUUAAGCCCACGACACCUAGCCACGCCACGCCCACAAGGGUAUUCAGCAGUGAUAAACCUUGUUUAUAAGCGCAAGCUUGAAUCAGCUAUGGCAAAGAGGGCCGGCAAAUCCGGUGCCAGCCGCCGCGGCUACACCGUUAGGCCCAAGUUGACACACACCGGCGUUAAGCGUGAUUAGAGUGAUUACACUGAUUAGAGUUAAACCCAAACUUAGUCGUGAUACACUUGUUCCCGGGAAACCCAAAAACGAAAGUUACUCUAACCAACCCACUUGACCCCACGACAGCUAGGACACAAACUGGGAUUAGGUACCCCACUAUGCCUAGCCGUAAAAUAUACACUCACCCCAUAAAUCGCCAGGGAAUUACGAGCCCAAGCUUAAAACCCAAAGGACUUGACGGUGUCCCACCCACCUAGAGGAGCCUGUUCUAUAAUCGAUUCCCCCCGAUAAACCUCACCACUUCUGGCCAACUCAGCCUGUAUACCUCCGUCGUAAGCUUACCAUGUGAACGAAGCCAGUGAGCCAAAAGAUCCAACAUCAGUACGUCAGGUCAAGGUGCAGCUAACGAACUGGAAAGAAAUGGGCUACAAUUUCUACCAUAGAACAAACGAAAGGCUACAUGAAACAUAGUCACUGAAGGCGGAUUUAGCAGUAAAAAGAAAA
rnacentral:rRNA from 1 species